rnacentral:rRNA from 1 species
AACGAACGCUGGCGGCAUGCCUAACACAUGCAAGUCGAACGAGACCUUCGGGUCUUGUGGCGCCCGGGUGCGUAACGCGUGGGGACCUGCCCUUAGGUUCGGCAUACCUCCCCGAAAGGGGUGCUAAUACCGGAUAAUGUCUUCGGACCAAAGAUUUAUUGCCUUUGGAUGGGCCCGCGUUGGAUUAGCUAGUUGGUAGGGUAAUAGCCUACCAAGGGGCCGAUCCAUAGCUGGUCGGAGAGGAUGAUCAGCCACACUUGGACGAAGACACGGCCCAGACUCCUACGGGAGGGAGGAGUGGGGAAUAUUGGACAAUGGGCGAAAGGCUGAACCAGCAAUGCCGCGUGAGUGAUGAAGGCCUUAGGGUUGUAAUGCGCUUUUAACCGGGAUGAUAAUGACAGUACCGGGAGAAUAAGCUCCGGCUAACUCCGUG